UGGUUGUAAUUUUAUAUCAACAUCACGUGCUUUGCUUUUUUAAGCAACUCUUCCAUUUCGGUAUCAUAUUUCAAAACCGAAAAAAUGUAUACAUUUCAAAAUCAAAGUAAAUUAUUUAUUAAAGGUUUUUCUAACUUAAAUGUUCAGAAUAUUAUCAAACUGAUGAAUUCGUUCUUCAAAAAUUAAGUAUCAACUUCAGUUCCUGUUUGUACCAAAUCAUUAUACAUCAGAAGAGUCGAGUGUAUUUGCGCAAUGAGUCAAAUGGAUUGGAGUCGUAUAAUAUAAAUGUUUGGAUUCAGAGCAAAGAUCACAAUAUAUUAUUCCAAACUGAAACUAUUAAUUAAGAAUAAUUUAUUUUUAGAUGUGCGUAGUUAUAAUGAAAUUGUUUAUAUUUAUUUAGUAUUACAAGGACUGAGAAUUCAAAUUUAAUUUCGAAAGUAUGAUUUCAAUAGUUUUUUCAGGUUGGAUCCUGCCUUCCUAAUCUGCAGCUAUUUUAAAAUUUGUAUUUUCCAAUCAUAGACAAAUAUACAUAUCAUCUGUGCUUCAAACCUACUCCGUGAGUAAAUACAUAUGACUCUGCAGACUCCCGCCUCACUCAUCAGCCAUAAUUAUAACUUCAUGGGAAUUAAACAAAAUCGAUACAGUCUCAAUGAGGUUUACAAUUCGUCUUAUUUCGGAACCAAAUAUAGUUAUCCCAAUGAAUGAAUUACAUUAUUAAUGCAACAUUAAUGGAAGAAUAUUUCAUAUUAUUUGACUAAUAGUAAAUUUGUAGGCUGACAAGGCAUUAAUAUUAAUGGAUAACUGUCAUCCAAUCUAUCUUGGAAAACGCCUGCAGACUCUCAUGCAGUGGCUACAUUUACAAGCCUUCUUUCAAAUUGUGUAAGAUAAAGAGCAUUUUUAUGUUACAAGUUAUGACUUUCAAUUAUUAAAUGAGAUAUUUUUAAACUUUAUGAAUAUCUUCUUCUUGAGGCCAUGAAUAAAAAGCACCUAUUUUCAAUUUUAA
rnacentral:lncRNA from 1 species